AAAUGCGGGAAUUUUAAAAUUGAAAAACAUGGCGGAAUAUGUGCACACGAGUGUGUUCAUGAAAUGCUGAUUUUUUAAACUUUUCUGUUUCAAAAUUAAUUCCUUUUAAAGCUUAGCGCUUUCAGUAAAACUCCCAAGACAAAACAAUGUAAGUAUGGUUAAAGAUUUGCCCGAAGGUUUUCAGAAAUAUUAAACUUUGGUAGAAUAAACGGGGAUUUUCAGGAUUUGAGGAUAUAUAAUAUAUUUUGUUUUAUUAAUGUUGUACUUUUAGUGAUAUUACAUGGCAGGGAAAGUUGACAUGAAUAAUGAGAAUUCAAGGAAUUGUACGCCAACUAGGUAUUUGAAAAAUGGAACCAUAAUUUUAAAAUACA